CGUAGGGUGCAAGCGUUAAUCGGAAUUACUGGGCGUAAAGCGUGCGCAGGCGGCUUUGCAAGACAGAUGUGAAAUCCCCGGGCUCAACCUGGGAACUGCAUUUGUGACUGCAUGGCUCGAGUGCGGCAGAGGGGGAUGGAAUUCCGCGUGUAGCAGUGAAAUGCGUAGAUAUGCGGAGGAACACCGAUGGCGAAGGCAAUCCCCUGGGCCUGCACUGACGCUCAUGCACGAAAGCGUGGGGAGCAAACAGGAUUAGAUACCCUGGUAGUCCACGCCCUAAACGAUGUCAACUGGUUGUUGGACGGCUUGCUGUUCAGUAACGAAGCUAACGCGUGAAGUUGACCGCCUGGGGAAUACGGCCGCAAGGUUG
rnacentral:rRNA from 1 species